GGCUUCGUAGUUCAACUGGAUAGAAUUUCAGAUUUCGGCUCUGAAGGUUGCAGGUUCGAACCCUGCCGAGGUCACAA
rnacentral:tRNA from 1 species